AAUGGGUCAGCGACUUAUAUUCUGUAGCAAGGUUAACCGAAUAGGGGAGCCGAAGGGAAACCGAGUCUUAACUGGGCGUUAAGUUGCAGGGUAUAGACCCGAAACCCGGUGAUCUAGCCAUGGGCAGGUUGAAGGUUGGGUAACACUAACUGGAGGACCGAACCGACUAAUGUUGAAAAAUUAGCGGAUGACUUGUGGCUGGGGGUGAAAGGCCAAUCAAACCGGGAGAUAGCUGGUUCUCCCCGAAAGCUAUUUAGGUAGCGCCUCGUGAAUUCAUCUCCGGGGGUAGAGCACUGUUUCGGCAAGGGGGUCAUCCCGACUUACCAACCCGAUGCAAACUGCGAAUACCGGAGAAUGUUAUCACGGGAGACACACGGCGGGUGCUAACGUCCGUCGUGAAGAGGGAAACAACCCAGACCGCCAGCUAAGGUCCCAAAGUCAUGGUUAAGUGGGAAACGAUGUGGGAAGGCCCAGACAGCCAGGAUGUUGGCUUAGAAGCAGCCAUCAUUUAAAGAAAGCGUAAUAGCUCACUGGUCGAGUCGGCCUGCGCGGAAGAUGUAACGGGGCUAAACCAUGCACCGAAGCUGCGGCAGCGACGCUUAUGCGUUGUUGGGUAGGGGAGCGUUCUGUAAGCCUGUGAAGGUGUGCUGUGAGGCAUGCUGGAGGUAUCAGAAGUGCGAAUGCUGACAUAAGUAACGAUAAAGCGGGUGAAAAGCCCGCUCGCCGGAAGACCAAGGGUUCCUGUCCAACGUUAAUCGGGGCAGGGUGAGUCGACCCCUAAGGCGAGGCCGAAAGGCGUAGUCGAUGGGAAACAGGUUAAUAUUCCUGUACUUGGUGUUACUGCGAAGGGGGGACGGAGAAGGCUAUGUUGGCCGGGCGACGGUUGUCCCGGUUUAAGCGUGUAGGCUGGUUUUCCAGGCAAAUCCGGAAAAUCAAGGCUGAGGCGUGAUGACGAGGCACUACGGUGCUGAAGCAACAAAUGCCCUGCUUCCAGGAAAAGCCUCUAAGCAUCAGGUAACAUCAAAUCGUACCCCAAACCGACACAGGUGGUCAGGUAGAGAAUACCAAGGCGCUUGAGAGAACUCGGGUGAAGGAACUAGGCAAAAUGGUGCCGUAACUUCGGGAGAAGGCACGCUGAUAUGUAGGUGAAGUCCCUCGCGGAUGGAGCUGAAAUCAGUCGAAGAUACCAGCUGGCUGCAACUGUUUAUUAAAAACACAGCACUGUGCAAACACGAAAGUGGACGUAUACGGUGUGACGCCUGCCCGGUGCCGGAAGGUUAAUUGAUGGGGUCAGCGCAAGCGAAGCUCUUGAUCGAAGCCCCGGUAAACGGCGGCCGUAACUAUAACGGUCCUAAGGUAGCGAAAUUCCUUGUCGGGUAAGUUCCGACCUGCACGAAUGGCGUAAUGAUGGCCAGGCUGUCUCCACCCGAGACUCAGUGAAAUUGAACUCGCUGUGAAGAUGCAGUGUACCCGCGGCAAGACGGAAAGACCCCGUGAACCUUUACUAUAGCUUGACACUGAACAUUGAGCCUUGAUGUGUAGGAUAGGUGGGAGGCUUAGAAGUGUGGACGCCAGUCUGCAUGGAGCCGACCUUGAAAUACCACCCUUUAAUGUUUGAUGUUCUAACGUUGACCCGUAAUCCGGGUUGCGGACAGUGUCUGGUGGGUAGUUUGACUGGGGCGGUCUCCUCCUAAAGAGUAACGGAGGAGCACGAAGGUUGGCUAAUCCUGGUCGGACAUCAGGAGGU
rnacentral:rRNA from 1 species